rnacentral:ncRNA from 2 species
GCCCAUUCUCAGGGCGGGGUGAAAGUCCCCACCGGCGGUAAGGGCGCUGCAAUAUCAUGCGGUGACCCAAGCCCGCGAGCGCCUUUCUCCUGAAGCGGGGAAGGGGUCAGCAGAUCCGGUGCAAUUCCGGAGCCGACGGUCAUAGUCCGGAUGAAAGAGAAUGGUC